rnacentral:rRNA from 1 species
AACGAACGCUGGCGGCAUGCCUAACACAUGCAAGUCGAACGAGAUCUUCGGGUCUAGUGGCGCACGGGUGCGUAACGCGUGGGAAUCUGCCCUUUGGUUCGGAAUAACAGUUGGAAACGACCGCUAAUACCGGAUGAUGACGAAAGUCCAAAGAUUUAUCGCCAGAGGAUGAGCCCGCGUAGGAUUAGCUAGUUGGUGUGGUAAAGGCGCACCAAGGCGACGAUCCUUAGCUGGUCUGAGAGGAUGAUCAGCCACACUGGGACUGAGACACGGCCCACACUCCUACGGGAGGCAGCAGUGGGGAAUAUUGGACAAUGGGCGAAAGCCUGACCCAGCAAUGCCGCGUGAGUGAUGAAGGCCUUAGGGUUGUAAAGCUCUUUUACCCGGGAUGAUAAUGACAGUACCGGGAGAAUAAGCUCCGGCUAACUCCGUGCCAGCAGCCGCCGUAA